rnacentral:lncRNA from 1 species
UCCUUUUCUGCACGGGGUUUUGGUACUUAAGUGGCAUAACCCUUUGCUUACUCAAUUGUAGUUGCGGGGGAUCGGACCGUAAUCCGCCCUACCAAGUUCAGCACCAGAAACCGCUGAACCAACUACAAAAGAGUCUUAUUUCCAACUUUUUUUGAAGGUUCCACAACCGUUGGGUUAAGUGACCGGGUGAGGGUCACCAAACUUAGAAGGUGCAUUCCUUUAUUUUUUUCUCUUUUU